AUUUGUUGAUAGUCUAGUUUUGAAUCCUCCUACUGACACUAGGAAUUGUCCACACAAGCAGAUCCAACCUUGGAUCUUGGUAAUAUUUUCAGCAUCUCUUUUAGGCUUAUAAAAUAGCACCUGACCAGGAGGAUCUCCUGCUCUGAGU